GCAAACUUGGUCAUUUAGAGGAAGUAAAAGUCGUAACAAGGUUUCCGUAGGUGAACCUGCGGAAGGAUCAUUAAUGGGUUUUUGCAUGUGAAGGGCUGUUGCUGGCCGCACCACGGCAUGUGCACGCCUGGAUCAUAACACAAUCCGCCUCUCUCUCACACCUGUGCACAACUGUAGCUUAUGGGUUGGAAUUGCAAGUUUGCAAAAUGUCAUAACCGUUUGCUAUGUACUUUUAAACACACCCUGUAAUGAAGUUCUUGCGGAAACAAAUGUAAUACAUAUAACAACUUUCAGCAACGGAUCUCUUGGCUCUCGCAUCGAUGAAGAACGCAGC
rnacentral:misc_RNA from 1 species